AGCAGCGUGGCCUCAUGGAUGGAGCAUGGACCUGUGAUUCAGAAGGAUCUGGGUUCUAAUCCCAGCUCUGCUA
rnacentral:tRNA from 1 species